CCACAGCACACCCAUAGACUAAUCACUUAAAAUAGCACAACUCACUACUCACCCGGCAGAAACAAGUCGACAGCCAUUUAAUGCUUUUUUUGAUCCUUAAUGCUUGACCCAACUUGAAACUAAAUGAUUGUAUUCUCCAGGCUUUUGGAAAACUUUCUUCUGGCUCAUCGUAUAAUAUGAGGUCUGCAGCUCCAGGUAGUUAGUGUUAUGUGGAUCGCCAUGACACCGGGUAAAUCCUCAAGAUUAUAAGACGAGUCUUUUUUACAGAGAUAAUACAGAUCAUAUCCUAAAUAUAUGCAUAUUUUUUUGAGAUGCCUCAGUUGUUCCAGCCUAUUUAGUGCAUUAUCGUACUCGUGGUCAAUUUUGCUUUGUUUUGAAUCAGAGAAAUCCCCUUCCGGGCCUCCAUCUGAAUUUUGCGUGUCAUCCGGAUCACGUGUCUGAAACCCAGCAAUACACAGUAAUGCUAGGGGCGGUGGUGGUUGGCGUCGGAACAGCUGGUGCGGUACGGAUCAGAGACAUGUUGACCCCACUAGCUGGCAGUGCUGCAGAGAAGCUGAUUGUCCAAGGGUUUGUAUCCAG